AAGACCUUACUUCAUAGGAUCAUUUCUAUAGUAAGCUCUUCACGAGAUCUCACAUUGGGUAAUAUUUUAUAAUUUUAAAA